CCGCUAUUUGAUAAGUUCCUACGUGGAACGGAACGUUCCACAGCUGUCAAAAUAAUUUUACAGAACCUAUUGUAAUUGUUUAAGGGUUCAUUGACAUCAUACUCGAAAUCCAAAAGUAAUUGAUUAACAGUUUCAGAAUAAAGAUCCCAAUUAACGAGACAUGCUGCAACGCUCAGAAUUCUUACAGAAUUUAGCUAAAUGUCCAUACCUCAAGCACCGGUAGCAUUGUUUAACUGGUGGUAUAUAUGGAGUGACAUUGUGGCGCCAACCUCCAAUAUCCAGAUAUUCAGGUAAUACAGAUGCAGCAAAAGUAAUUGUCACGGUUAGAGUUGGCUGUAACACAUAUCCAUGAGUCAAGAUUCUGAGUCAGUAGAAGUAUCUUCCGAAUAUAUAUCCUUGUCAUUACAAGGUUCAUGGUCUACAUCACCUGAAUCGUCAUCUUUUUUUUUCCUUUUUCUACAACUGCGCUUCCCCAUGAAUGCUAAUUAUAUUACUGUCGCUGAAUUUAGUGAAAAUAUAAUAUUUUAUUCAAUAAUAAGAAUUGAUAGAGAUAGUUUUAAUAAAUUAAUAAAAAAAAUUUAAAAAACCCGCUUGUUCUUA